rnacentral:rRNA from 1 species
GGCAAAUCCGGAUAAUCAAGGCUGAGGUGUGAUGACGAGGCACUACGGUGCUGAAGUAACAAAUGCCCUGCUUCCAGGAAAAGCCUCUAAGCAUCAGGUAACAUCAAAUCGUACCCCAAACCGACACAGGUGGUCAGGUAGAGAAUACCAAGGCGCUUGAGAGAACUCGGGUGAAGGAACUAGGCAAAAUGGUGCCGUAACUUCGGGAGAAGGCACGCUGGUGUGUAGGUGAAGUCCCUGCGGAUGGAGCUGAGACCAGUCGAAGAUACCAGCUGGCUGCAACUGUUUAUUAAAAACACAGCACUGUGCAAACACGAAAGUGGACGUAUACGGUGUGACGCCUGCCCGGUGCCGGAAGGUUAAUUGAUGGGGUUAUCCGUAAGGAGAAGCUCUUGAUCGAAGCCCCGGUAAACGGCGGCCGUAACUAUAACGGUCCUAAGGUAGCGAAAUUCCUUGUCGGGUAAGUUCCGACCUGCACGAAUGGCGUAAUGAUGGCCAGGCUGUCUCCACCCGAGACUCAGUGAAAUUGAACUCGCUGUGAAGAUGCAGUGUACCCGCGGCAAGACGGAAAGACCCCGUGAACCUUUACUAUAGCUUGACACUGAACAUUGAGCCUUGAUGUGUAGGAUAGGUGGGAGGCUUUGAAGCGUGGACGCCAGUCUGCGUGGAGCCAACCUUGAAAUACCACCCUUUAAUGUUUGAUGUUCUAACGUUGGCCCCUGACCGGGGUUGCGGACAGUGUCUGGUGGGUAGUUUGACUGGGGCGGUCUCCUCCCAAAGCGUAACGGAGGAGCACGAAGGUUAGCUAAUCCUGGUCGGACAUCAGGAGGUUAGUGCAAUGGCAUAAGCUAGCUUGACUGCGAGCGUGACGGCGCGAGCAGGUGCGAAAGCAGGUCAUAGUGAUCCGGUGGUUCUGAAUGGAAGGGCCAUCGCUCAACGGAUAAAAGGUACUCCGGGGAUAACAGGCUGAUACCGCCCAAGAGUUCAUAUCGACGGCGGUGUUUGGCACCUCGAUGUCGGCUCAUCACAUCCUGGGGCUGAAGUAGGUCCCAAGGGUAUGGCUGUUCGCCAUUUAAAGUGGUACGCGAGCUGGGUUUAGAACGUCGUGAGACAGUUCGGUCCCUAUCUGCCGUGGGCGCUGGAGAAUUGAGGGGGGCUGCUCCUAGUACGAGAGGACCGGAGUGGACGCAUCACUGGUGUUCGGGUUGUCAUGCCAAUGGCACUGCCCGGUAGCUAAAUGCGGAAGAGAUAAGUGCUGAAAGCAUCUAAGCACGAAACUUGCCCCGAGAUGAGUUCUCCCUGAGACUUUAAGUCUCCUGAAGGAACGUUAAAGACGAUGACGUUGAUAGGCCGGGUGUGUAAGCGCAGCGAUGCGUUGAGCUAACCGGUACUAAUGCU